rnacentral:rRNA from 1 species
CGCAAGCCUGACGGAGCAAGACCGCGUGGGGGAGGAAAGCCUUUGGGUUGUAAACCCCUUUUCUCAGGGAAGAAGAAAGUGACGGUACCUGAGGAAUCAGCCUCGGCUAACUCCGUGCCAGCAGCCGCGGUAAUACGGAGGAGGCAAGCGUUAUCCGGAAUGAUUGGGCGUAAAGCGUUCGUAGGUGGCAAUUCAAGUCUGCUGUCAAAGACAGUAGCUCAACUACUGCAAGGCAGUGGAAACUGAAUAGCUAGAGUGCGGUAGGGGCAGAGGGAAUUCCCGGUGUAGCGGUGAAAUGCGUAGAUAUCGAGAGGAACACUCGUGGCGAAAGCGAGCUACUGGACAUUUACUGACGCUGAGGCUCGAAGGCCAGGGGAGCG